rnacentral:misc_RNA from 1 species
AAAGUCGUAACAAGGUUUCCGUAGGUGAACCUGCGGAAGGAUCAUUACUGAGGAACUCGCACCGUUGUUGCUGGCCUUCGGGCAUGUGCACGCGGUUGCACUCUUCUUAUUCUACACCUGUGAACCGUUUAACGAGUGGAGUUGCGUUCGCGCGCUUUAACUCGCUACUACACACUACUUCGAACAACUCAGAACGUCUUGACAUUAUUAAAUGUAAUAACUUUCAACAACGGAUCUCUUGGCUCUC